GUUGAAACAUCAAUUCCCGUACGAUGACCGAAGUUAAGCAACGUCGAGCUUUGUUAGUACCUAGAUGGGUGACCGCUUGGGAAUAACAGGUAAUGUA